AAUAUUGCGCAAUGGAGGGAACUCUGACGCAGCGACGCCGCGUGAGCGAUGAAGGUUNNNGGAUCNUCAAGCUCUGUCCUUGGNGACNAAGGUCUUCGGACUUGACGGUACCCAAGGAGGAAGCCCCGGCUAACUACGUGCCAGCAGCCGCGGUAAUACGUAGGGGGCGAGCGUUGUCCGGAAUUACUGGGCGUAAAGGGUACGUAGGCGGCUAUAUAAGUCAGGUGUGAAAUACCAGUGCUUAACACUGGAAUUGCAUUUGAAACUGUGUAGCUUGAGUGCAGGAGAGGAAAGUGGAAUUCCUAGUGUAGCGGUGAAAUGCGUAGAGAUUAGGAGGAACACCAGUGGCGAAGGCGACUUUCUGGACUGUAACUGACGCUGAGGUACGAAAGCGUGGGUAGCGAACA
rnacentral:rRNA from 1 species